GCAAUGGCCGACUAGGGUUCCGGCUCGCUUGAAAAGCGAGUGGCUGGUCCGAGAGUUGGCGACCUCCAGUUGAGGUUACACGGCGGGAUAAAAGCCCGGGAGAC
rnacentral:sRNA from 1 species